GGCGGCGUUGCUUUAACACAUGCAAGUCGAAACGGUGAAACCAGAGCUUGCUCUGGGGAUCAGUGGCGAACGGGUGAGUAACACGUGGGCAACCUGCCCCAGACUCUGGGAAUUAACCCCGGGAAACCGGAGCUAAUAUCGGAUAUGACCACUUCGGACAUCCGAUGGUGGUGGAAAGUUUUUCGGUCUGGGAUGGGCCGCGGCCUAUCAGCUAGUUGUGGGGUAAUGGCCUACCAAGGCGACGACGGGUAGCCGGCCUGAGAGGGCGACCGGCCACACUGGAACUGAGACACGGUCCAGACUCCUACGGGAGGCAGCAGUGGGAAUAUUGCACAAUGGCGAAAGCCUGAUGCAGCGACGCCGCGUGAGGGACGACGGCCUUCGGGUUGUAAACCUCUUUCAGCAGGGACGAAGCGAAAGUGACUGUACCUGCAAAAGAAGCACCGGCUAACUACGUG
rnacentral:rRNA from 1 species